GGGUUGUGAGGUUAAGCGACUAAGCGUACACGGUGGAUGCCCCUGGCAGUCAGAGGCGAUGAAGGACGUGCUAAUCUGCGAAAAGCGCCGGCGAGGUGAUAUGAACCUUUGACCCGGCGAUGUCCGAAUGGGGAAACCCAGUGCAAUUCGUUGCACUAUCGUUAACUGAAUACAUAGGUUAACGAGGCGAACCGGGGAACUGAAACAUCUAAGUACCCCGAGGAAAAGAAAUCAACGAGAUUCCCCCAGUAGCGGCGAGCGAACGGGGGAGCAGCCCAGAGUCUGAAUCAGCUUGUGUGUUAGUGAAGCGGUCUGGAAAGUCGCACGGUACAGGGUGACAGUCCCGUACACGAAAAUGCACAGGUUGUGAACUCGAAGAGUAGGGCGGGACACGUGGUAUCCUGUCUGAAUAUGGGGGGACCAUCCUCCAAGGCUAAAUACUCCUGACUGACCGAUAGUGAACCAGUACCGUGAGGGAAAGGCGAAAGAACCCCGGCGAGGGGAGUGAAAAAGACCUGAAACCGUGUACGUACAAGCAGUGGGAGCACCUUCGUGGUGUGACUGCGUACCUUUUGUAUAAUGGGUCAGCGACUUAUAUUCUGUAGCAAGGUUAACCGUAUAGGGGAGCCGAAGGGAAACCGAGUCUUAACUGGGCGUUAAGUUGCAGGGUAUAGACCCGAAACCCGGUGAUCUAGCCAUGGGCAGGUUGAAGGUUGGGUAACACUAACUGGAGGACCGAACCGACUAAUGUUGAAAAAUUAGCGGAUGACUUGUGGCUGGGGGUGAAAGGCCAAUCAAACCGGGAGAUAGCUGGUUCUCCCGAAAGCUAUUUAGGUAGCGCCUCGUGAACUCAUCUUCGGGGGUAGAGCACUGUUUCGGCUAGGGGGCCAUCCCGGCUUACCAACCCGAUGCAAACUACGAAUACCGAAGAAUGUUAUCACGGGAGACACACGGCGGGUGCUAACGUCCGUCGUGAAGAGGGAAACAACCCAGACCGCCAGCUAAGGUCCCAAAGUCAUGGUUAAGUGGGAAACGAUGUGGGAAGGCACAGACAGCCAGGAUGUUGGCUUAGAAGCAGCCAUCAUUUAAAGAAAGCGUAAUAGCUCACUGGUCGAGUCGGCCUGCGCGGAAGAUGUAACGGGGCUAAACCAUGCACCGAAGCUGCGGCAGCGACACUAUGUGUUGUUGGGUAGGGGAGCGUUCUGUAAGCCGUUGAAGGUGGCCUGUGAGGGUUGCUGGAGGUAUCAGAAGUGCGAAUGCUGACAUAAGUAACGAUAAAGCGGGUGAAAAGCCCGCUCGCCGGAAGACCAAGGGUUCCUGUCCAACGUUAAUCGGGGCAGGGUGAGUCGACCCCUAAGGCGAGGCCGAAAGGCGUAGUCGAUGGGAAACAGGUUAAUAUUCCUGUACUUGGUGUUACUGCGAAGGGGGGACGGAGAAGGCUAUGUUAGCCGGGCGACGGUUGUCCCGGUUUAAGCAUGUAGGCGGAGGUUCCAGGUAAAUCCGGUACCUUUUAACGCUGAGGUGUGAUGACGAGGCACUACGGUGCUGAAGUAACAAAUGCCCUGCUUCCAGGAAAAGCCUCUAAGCAUCAGGUAACAUCAAAUCGUACCCCAAACCGACACAGGUGGUCAGGUAGAGAAUACCAAGGCGCUUGAGAGAACUCGGGUGAAGGAACUAGGCAAAAUGGUGCCGUAACUUCGGGAGAAGGCACGCUGAUAUGUAGGUGAAGCCCCUGCGGGUGGAGCUGAAAUCAGUCGAAGAUACCAGCUGGCUGCAACUGUUUAUUAAAAACACAGCACUGUGCAAACACGAAAGUGGACGUAUACGGUGUGACGCCUGCCCGGUGCCGGAAGGUUAAUUGAUGGGGUUAGCGGCAACGCGAAGCUCUUGAUCGAAGCCCCGGUAAACGGCGGCCGUAACUAUAACGGUCCUAAGGUAGCGAAAUUCCUUGUCGGGUAAGUUCCGACCUGCACGAAUGGCGUAAUGAUGGCCAGGCUGUCUCCACCCGAGACUCAGUGAAAUUGAACUCGCUGUGAAGAUGCAGUGUACCCGCGGCAAGACGGAAAGACCCCGUGAACCUUUACUAUAGCUUGACACUGAACACUGGUCCUUGAUGUGUAGGAUAGGUGGGAGGCUUUGAAGUGUGGACGCCAGUCUGCAUGGAGCCGUCCUUGAAAUACCACCCUUUAAUGGCUGGUGUUCUAACGUAGACCCGUGAUCCGGGUUGCGGACAGUGUCUGGUGGGUAGUUUGACUGGGGCGGUCUCCUCCCAAAGAGUAACGGAGGAGCACGAAGGUUAGCUAAUCCUGGUCGGACAUCAGGAGGUUAGUGCAAUGGCAUAAGCUAGCUUGACUGCGAGAGUGACGGCUCGAGCAGGUGCGAAAGCAGGUCAUAGUGAUCCGGUGGUUCUGAAUGGAAGGGCCAUCGCUCAACGGAUAAAAGGUACUCCGGGGAUAACAGGCUGAUACCGCCCAAGAGUUCAUAUCGACGGCGGUGUUUGGCACCUCGAUGUCGGCUCAUCACAUCCUGGGGCUGAAGUAGGUCCCAAGGGUAUGGCUGUUCGCCAUUUAAAGUGGUACGCGAGCUGGGUUUAGAACGUCGUGAGACAGUUCGGUCCCUAUCUGCCGUGGGCGCUGGAGAAUUGAGGGGGGCUGCUCCUAGUACGAGAGGACCGGAGUGGACGCAUCACUGGUGUUCGGGUUGUCAUGCCAAUGGCACUGCCCGGUAGCUAAAUGCGGAAAAGAUAAGUGCUGAAAGCAUCUAAGCACGAAACUUGCCCCGAGAUGAGUUCUCCCUGAGACUUUAAGUCUCCUGAAGGAACGUUGAAGACGACGACGUUGAUAGGUCGGGUGUGUAAGCGCAGCGAUGCGUUGAGCUAACCGAUACUAAUGAACCGUGAGGCUUAACCUUACAACGCCGAAG
rnacentral:rRNA from 2 species